rnacentral:rRNA from 1 species
AGAGUUUGAUCAUGGCUCAGAUUGAACGCUGGCGGCAGGCUAACACAUGCAAGUCGAACGGUAACAGGAAGCAGCUUGCUGCUUCGCUGACGAGUGGCGGACGGGUGAGUAAUGUCUGGGAAACUGCCUGAUGGAGGGGAUAACUACUGGAAACGGUAGCUAAUACCGCAUAAUGUCGCAAGACCAAAGAGGGGGACCUUCGGGCCUCUUGCCAUCGGAUGUGCCCAGAUGGGAUUAGCUAGUAGGUGGGGUAACGGCUCACCUAGGCGACGAUCCCUAGCUGGUCUGAGAGGAUGACCAGCCACACUGGAACUGAGACACGGUCCAGACUCCUACGGGGGCAGCAGUGGGGAAUAUUGCACAAUGGGCGCAAGCCUGAUGCAGCCAUGCCGCGUGUAUGAAGAAGGCCUUCGGGUUGUAAAGUACUUUCAGCGGGGAGGAAGGGAGUAAAGUUAAUACCUUUACUCAUUGACGUUACCCGCAGAAGAAGCACCGGCUAACUCCGUGCCAGCAGCCGCGGUAAUACGGAGGGUGCAAGCGUUAAUCGGAAUUACUGGGCGUAAAGCGCACGCAGGCGGUUUGUUAAGUCAGAUGUGAAAUCCCCGGGCUCAACCUGGGAACUGCAUCUGAUACUGGCAAGCUUGAGUCUCGUAGAGGGGGGGUAGAAGACUUCCAGGUGUAGCGGUGAAUGCGUAGAGAUCUGGAGGUAAUACCGGUGGCGAAGGCGGCCCCCUGCGACGAAGACUGACGCUCAGGUGCGAAAGCGUGGGGAGCAAACAGGAUUAGAUACCCUGGUAGUCCACGCCGUAAACGAUGUCGACUUGGAGGUUGUGCCCUUGAGGCGUGGCUUCCGGAGCUAACGCGUUAAGUCGACCGCCUGGGAGUACGGCCGCAAGGUUAAAACUCAAAUGAAUUGACGGGGCCCGCACAAGCGGUGGAGCAUGUGGUUUAAUUCGAUGCAACGCGAAGAACCUUACCUGGUCUUGACAUCCACGGAAGUUUUCAGAGAUGAGAAUGUGCCUUCGGGAACCGUGAGACAGUGCUGCAUGGCUGUCGUCAGCUCGUGUUGUGAAAUGUUGGGUUAAGUCCCGCAACGAGCGCAACCCUUAUCCUUUGUUGCCAGCGGUCCGGCCGGGAACUCAAAGGAGACUGCCAGUGAUAAACUGGAGGAAGGUGGGGAUGACGUCAAGUCAUCAUGGCCUUACGACCAGGGCUACCACACGUGCUACAAUGGCGCAUACAAAGAGAAGCGACCUCGCGAGAGCAAGCGGACCUCAUAAAGUGCGUCGUAGUCCGGAUUGGAGUCUGCACUCGACUCCAUGAAGUCGGAAAUCGCUAGUAAUCGUCGUGAGUCAGAAUGCCACGGUGAUACGUUCCCGGGCCUUGUACACACCGCCCGUCACACAUGGGAGUGGGUUGCAAAAGAAGUAGGGUAGCUUAACCUUCGGGGAGGGCGCUUACCACUUUGUGAUUCAUGACUGGGGUGAAGUCGUAACAAGGUAACCGUUAGGGGAACCUGCGGUUG